rnacentral:rRNA from 1 species
AUUGAACGCUGGCGGCAUGCUUUACACAUGCAAGUCGAACGGCAGCGCGGGCUUCGUCCUGGCGGCGAGUGGCGAACGGGUGAGUAAUGCAUCGGAACGUGCCCAGUAGUGGGGGAUAGCCCGGCGAAAGCCGGAUUAAUACCGCAUACGACCUGAUGGUGAAAGCGGGGGACCGAAAGGCCUCGCGCUAUUUGAGCGGCCGAUGUCGCAUUAGCUAGUUGGUGGGGUAAAGGCUUACCAAGGCGACGAUCCGUAGCUGGUCUGAGAGGACGACCAGCCACACUGGGACUGAGACACGGCCCAGACUCCUACGGGAGGCAGCAGUGGGGAAUUUUGGACAAUGGGGGAAACCCUGAUCCAGCCAUGCCGCGUGCGGGAAGAAGGCCUUCGGGUUGUAAAACGCUUUUGUUCGGGAAGAAAUCCUCUGGGCUAAUACCCCGGGGGGAUGACGGUACCGGAAGAAUAAGCACCGGCUAACUACGUG